rnacentral:rRNA from 1 species
CUUGCUCCUGAUGUUACGGCGGANGGGUGAGUACACGUGGGUACCUGCCUGUAAGACUGGGAUAACUCCGGGAAACCGGGGCUAAUACCGGAUGGUUGUUUGAACCGCAUGGUUCAAACAUAAAAGGUGGCUUCGGCUACCACUUACAGAUGGACCCGCGGCGCAUUAGCUAGUUGGUGAGGUAACGGCUCACCAAGGCAACGAUGCGUAGCCGACCUGAGAGGGUGAUCGGCCACACUGGGACUGAGACACGGCCCAGACUCCUACGGGAGGCAGCAGUAGGGAAUCUUCCGCAAUGGACGAAAGUCUGACGGAGCAACGCCGCGUGAGUGAUGAAGGUUUUCGGAUCGUAAAGCUCUGUUGUUAGGGAAGAACAAGUACCGUUCGAAUAGGGCGGUACCUUGACGGUACCUAACCAGAAAGCCACGGCUA